rnacentral:misc_RNA from 1 species
AAGGAGCACCAACUGGCCAUGCCGCUCUCCGGAGAGCAUGGUCGGUGGCCGUCCUUGACAGCGAACGCCUGUCAGACGGCUGCUCAUAGAUGUGGAGCACUGGCUACUCACCAGCACUACGGUGCCGUCCGGCAAGUACCGCCGCCCCUGGGGGUGGAGUGGGAACGGCGAGGCGGGGUCGCGGGACUGGUGGACACGCUGUUGGGUCCUGAGGAAACGGGCACGUGAGUGUCCGAUGAUCCUCGGAUCACGGGACCAGAUGCCUCCUACAGACGUGGUCUGUAGGGGGUUCUGGUGGGCCCGGUUGUUUUUUGAGAACUGCACAGUGGACGCGAGCAUCUCUGAACAAGGGUCUCCUCAUGUUGUUUUUGUGAGGGGGGUUUUGUUCUCUGUUGCGAUUUGUUUUGAUCGUUUUGU